CGGGGUGCACCAGGCGCGAAAACUUUACAAUGCCGGCAACGGCGAUAAGGGAACCUCGAGUGCCAGGUUACAAAUCUGGCUGUCGUGAUGCCUAAAAAGCAUUGCAUAGCAAGGGCCGGGCAAGACCGGUGCCAGCCGCCGCGGUAACACCGGCGGCUCGAGUGGUAACCGUUAUUAUUGGGUCUAAAGGGUCUGUAGCCGGCCGGGUAAGUCUCUUGGGAAAUCUGGCAGCUUAACUGUCAGGCUUUCAGGAGAUACUGCCUGGCUCGAGGCCGGGAGAGGUGAGAGGUACUUCAGGGGUAGGGGUGAAAUCUUGUAAUCCUUGAAGGACCACCAGUGGCGAAGGCGUCUCACCAGAACGGACCUGACGGCAAGGGACGAAAGCUAGGGGCACGAACCGGAUUAGAUACCCGGGUAGUCCUAGCCGUAAACGAUACUCGCUAGGUGUCGGCCACGGUGCGACCGUGGUCGGUGCCGUAGGGAAGCCGUGAAGCGAGCCACCUGGGAAGUACGGCCGCAAGGCUGAAACUUAAAGGAAUUGGCGGGGGAGCACAAGGGCGAAUCGCG
rnacentral:rRNA from 1 species